CCUACGGAGGCAGCAGUAAGGAAUCUUCCACAAUGGACGAAAGUCUGAUGGAGCAACGCCGCGUGCAGGAUGAAGGCUUUCGGGUCGUAAACUGCUUUUAUAUGGGAAGAUUAUGACGGUACCAUAUGAAUAAGGACCGGCUAACUACGUGCCAGCAGCCGCGGUAAUACGUAGGGUCCAAGCGAUAUCCGGAAUUACUGGGCGUAAAGCGUGUGUAGGUGGAUUAAUAAGUGUGAUGCGAAAUCCGGCGGCUCAACCGUUUGGGCUGUGUCGCAUACUGUUAGUCUAGAGGACGGCAGAGGUAAGUGGAAUUACGGGUGUAGCAGUGAAAUGCGUAGAUAUCCGUAGGAACACCAAUGGCGAAGGCAGCUUACUGGGCCACACCUGACACUGAGACACGAAAGCGUGGGGAGCGAACAGGAUUAGAUACCCUGGUAGUCCACGCCGUAAACGAUGCAUACUAUUAGUAUGGGGUAUCGACCCCCUGUGCUGAGAAGCUAACGCGAUAAGUAUGCCGCCUGGGGAGUACGAGCGCAAGCUUAAAACUCAAAGGAAUUGACGGCGUGAGAGNGCGACGACGACGACGAGGGAGAGG
rnacentral:rRNA from 1 species